UACGUAAGUCGCAAGCGUUAUCCGGAAUUAUUGGGCGUAAAGCGUCCGUAGGCGGUCUUAUAAGUCUGUAGUUAAAUCCCAGGGCUCAACCCUGGAAUCGUUAUGGAAACUAUAAGACUUGAGGUAUGCAGGGGUAGAUGGAAUUCCAGAAGUAGGGGUAAAAUCCGUAGAUCUCUGGAGGAACACCAAACGCGAAGGCA
rnacentral:rRNA from 1 species